rnacentral:rRNA from 1 species
UGACGAGUUUGAUCCUGGCUCAGAACGAACGCUGGCGGCAGGCUUAACACAUGCAAGUCGAACGCUCCGCAAGGAGAGUGGCAGACGGGUGAGUAACACGUGGGAACGUACCCUUUACUACGGAACAACUCCGGGAAACUGGAGCUAAUACCGUAUGUGCCCUUCGGGGGAAAGAUUUAUCGGUAAAGGAUCGGCCCGCGUUGGAUUAGCUAGUUGGUGGGUAAAGGCCUACCAAGGCGACGAUCCAUAGCUGGUCUGAGAGGAUGAUCAGCCACAUUGGGGACUGAGACACGGCCCAAACUCCUACGGGAGGCAGCAGUGGGGAAUAUUGGACAAUGGGCGCAAGCCUGAUCCAGCAAUACCGCGUGUGGGAUGAAGGCCUUCGGGGGUCGUAAACCGCUUUUUUCGGGGGACGAUAAUGACGGUUACCGCAGAAGAACGCCCCGGCUAACUCCGUGCCAGCAGCCGCGGUAAUCUGAUGGC